UGUCCUCAACUAGGUCCAUGGGCACAA
rnacentral:piRNA from 1 species